rnacentral:lncRNA from 1 species
GUUAGAAACCUCAAUGGAGAAAUGGUUCCUCAUCCCAGGACUGCAAACAAACAAACACCUGAAAACAUUAGUCUAAUCUGUGUCACAUGACUCUUAUCUGAGUGGUGAGACCUAAGUCAUGCCCAGACCUCAAGAUAAGGGGUGGUGUCAGGUCCUCAAGUCACCUGGCCUGGAAGGAGAAUAUAGAGUCCUAAAAGACUAUCAGGCCUGGGAGUCCUGCUGUUGGGUGAGCCCUUGAAGAAGGAGCCCUGGCUCAUUCAUUUCUGCAUCUCCGGUGCUUAGCAUAAUUCCUGGCGCACAGCAUGUAAUGGGAAAUUUGCCAAAAAAAAGAAAGCAACAGAUUAGCCGCCUGGGACUCAAGGCCCUGUCCUGGAUGAUAGUGUUCAAAGGUACAGGGACAGCUUCAGAGCCUAGAUGAUAACUCUCCUUCAUAACAUUACAGAUGCCAUGUAUGGAUGACAG